UCACUCAAGAUAACAUUCCUGGACACUUCGGGAGCGCCAACUGGUGGACAGAAGACGGUGCUCGCAGAUGCUCCAACGGAGUGGACCUUGCUGUCUGUGGAACGGAAUGACCUUCCUAAGCAAUUCUCGAUUGCGAUUAUUGGCAAUACUGGAAGUUCUUCGAGUGAUAUUGCUAUUGAUGAUAUUGAUAUCAGCCCGGGCACUUGCGAGGCAACAAAAGCUGUCACUGUUUCCCCACAGCCUGUGACAGAUACUCCACGAGCCUCUACAACACAAGCUGUUGCAAAUGGCUCUGAGAGCACAGAAAGUGCAGAACCUUCAGUAACAGGUA